rnacentral:lncRNA from 1 species
AUUGAGCUGCUUUAGAGAUUUAGUGUUAUUAUUUUGCCUCUCAAACUUCCGGAGUUGUUUUGUGGGUUUUCAUUGGCUGAUCGGCUACUAUUUUUGUCUUGCUACUUUCUUAACCUUACUCAUAGGCUCUAUUUUGCUGAAUUACAGGUAUCCAUCUUCACGCAAAAGCUGAGAGAUAAUGCCUAUGUAUAUUUCAGUUUGUAGCUGGUCAUGAAGGCAAUAACACUUUGCUUUAGUUUCACACAAUGACUGAUAUUUAUUUUUAAUAGCAUCUCUAGUGUUGUAAUCAACAUGAAUAUGUACUAACUAUGGAGUGUAUUGGGAUUAAUUUUUAAUUCGUUUAAGUUUCAGUACGUUUAAUGAUAGUCUGGUCGAAUUUAUUUAGUGUUUGUAAGUGGAGUUAUGGUAGAAUUUUCGAC